rnacentral:rRNA from 1 species
GGGUAACGGCCUACCAAGGCGACGAUGCAUAGCCGACCUGAGAGGGCGAACGGCCACAUUGGGACUGAGACACGGCCCAAACUCCUACGGGAGGCAGCAGUAGGGAAUUUUCGUCAAUGGGGGGAACCCUGAACGAGCAAUGCCGCGUGAGUGAAGACGGUUUUCGGACUGUAAAGCUCUGUUGUAAGAGAAAAACGGCCGACAUAGGGAAUGAUGUCGGAGUGAUGGUAUCUUACCAGAAAGUCACGGCUAACUAC